GAGAAAAAAAGACAGAAUUUCAAUAUAUUAGAAAAUGGAAAAAAAACUUAGAAGUGUAAUUGUGGGCACAAGUGAAGCUGAAUAAAAAAAAAUGUCCAGGAUAACAUAAUAAUAAAAUAUUCUUUCUGGACUAUAACAAUAGGAUGGCAAUCAGGGGAACAAAGAAAUAUAUUUAUCCUCAUGCUCCUCCAGUCUCCACAGCACACCAAGGAUUGCUGCCAAUAUGGACCAACAUCUUUGAUUUCUUUGUCCCCCUCAAGACCUGCAGUAAGUGUCAUUGCCAGCAAAGCUGCCAGGCCAAACUAGGUCCAUGGUGACUGGGAAUGAUGCACCCAGGAAACAAACUCACCUUGCUUGCUCAUCACCAUUAUUGCAUUGAGCAGCCCAAUGCUAAACAAGUUCCAAGGGCCCAGGUACAUGUGAGGCUGCACAAGGACAAGUUUGCACAUUACAGGAGGUAGAACAGGAGUGCAUGCAGAGGUCAGACAUGACUGCAUAUCCCGAAUCGCACGGAAGAGACAUUGCUCUAAAUCCUUGAUAUGAUGUAAUGACACCAGCGGCAAUACUUAUAUUCGAGAGCAGUGCUUGGUCUGGCGGUGGGGCCACACUGCUGUGUUUGUGUGGAGGGUGAGGCUGCUGUACUCCUGUCAGG